AGAGUUUGAUCAUGGCUCAGAAUGAACGCUGGCGGCGUGCCUAACACAUGCAAGUCGAGCGUGAAAGUCCCUUCGGGGGCGAGUAAAGCGGCGGACGGGUGAGAAACGCGUGAGAAUUUGCCCUUUAGUGAAGAAUACCUCUGAGAAAUCAGGGUUAAUACUGCAUACGUCCCUACGGGGAGAAAGGUGGCCUCUUUGCUGCCGCUAAAGGAUAAGCUUGCGUGCUAUUAGCUAGUUGGUGGGGUAAAGGCCUACCAAGGCGAAGAUGGCUAGCCGGCCUGAGAGGGUGUACGGCCACACUGGAACUUAGAUACGGUCCAGACUCCUACGGGAGGCAGCAGUGAGGAAUAUUGCGCAAUGGGCGAAAGCCUGACGCAGCGACGCCGCGUGGAGGAUGAAGGUCUUCGGAUUGUAAACUUCUGUUAAGUGGGAAGAAAGAAUUAUCUCGAUAAAAGAUAGUAGAUGACUGUACCAUUAGAGAAAGCACCGGCUAACUUCGUGCCAGCAGCCGCGGUAAUACGAGGGGUGCAAGCGUUAUUCGGAAUCAUUUGGGCGUAAAGGGUGCGUAGGCGGCUUGUUAAGUCAACUGUUAAAUUCUCCGGCCUAACUGGAGGUCAGCGGUAGAAACUGGCGAGCUUGAGAUGAGAAGAGAGGAGUGGAAUUCUCGGAAGCGGUAAAAUGCGUAGAUCUCGAGAGGAACACCGAUGGCGAAGGCAGCUCCUUGGUCUCUAUCUGACGCUGAGGCACGAAAGCGUGGGGAGCAAACAGGAUUAGAUACCCCGGUAGUCC
rnacentral:rRNA from 1 species